AGACAAUCUCUGCUAGAACUGGAAUGUAGGCAAAAGUCUAAGCUAAAAGGCCUUUGAAAAACAAAAGGUAAUCUCUCUCUGCCAAAGCAGAGAUAGCAAAGGGAGCUGGCGACUGACUUAACUGUUCUGUGUUCUGCUAACUAGACUGCUGGGAUAUGAUCUGUGUGUGCUGUCCUUAAAGACUGUUUGGAAACUUUAGUUAGAGCAACCUAUCAGCCAGUGUAAGAGUCUUUUUAGGUCAGUUGAGAUGUUACCUAAAUAAGCUGUCCUAGAGGGCCAGAGGACUACUCACAUGACUGGUCACUGUAAGACAGUGAGUUGCAUCCAAAGGAAAUGCAUUUCAGUCUGAAACAGCUUCCCUAGCAACUAUCGGGUUUCUGGGAACAGUGCAUAGAGUUGGUGCUUACUUAUAAAGCCCCACCUUUCUUGUAUCUGAGGCUGCUCCUUCUGUCUAUGAACUCUCCACACCCUGAGGUCAUAAUGAGAAAUGUUUCUUGGCAUACGCCAGCUUUCAGAGCUGCAUUCAGAAUAGCGAUGCCGACGGGCAGCUGAUACAUUUCUGGAUUAAGAAAGAUUUCGCAUUCUGCAGUGGGCAGCCACUGGAACCUUAGGAACCUUUCACAGAAAGAAGUGAAAGAAAAAAAGAAGAAAGAAAGAAAGAAAGAAAGAAAGAAAGAAAGAAAGAAAGAAAGAAAGAAAAUGGGAAUGAAAAAAAUAUAUAGCAACCUUAUAUUAUAAAGAGACACAAUAACUCUAAAAAGCUACAUGUGAUGCUGCAUGAAAAGCCCUUUUACAAACUGAAGACUGAAGACAAUAUGCAAAGUUCAUCAGUUUAAAUGGAUCUGACUAGGACCCUAAAUCUUCCAGAAGAUUUACUAAUUCUAAGAAGAAUUACUUCAAAGAAAGUGCCACUGAAUUUGUGGAAACUCCUAAAGUUAAUGAGUUUACAUUCAUGCCGAGAAUGACCUGAGCCAGAACCAGCUUUCUUUGCUACAUGGAGUGUACCUAGAGGGCUACCUGCUUCUUUCCUGGAAAAGAUCUAUGUGCCUACAACACCUGCAUCAGGUACAGCUAUUUGGCAAGCGAAGUUUGAUAGCAGGGAUAAGUUGUAGUGGUAAGUGGUGGAGAAGGUGAUACUCUACCUGCCUCACCAUUUAAAAAUGGACAGGAGUUGUAAGUACACAGAGGAGAAAGGUUGGCAGCCCUAUAUUUAAGCGGCAUUUUAAAUGUUCAUAUUAUUGAAUUUUAUCUGGCCAGGGCGGCUUAUUUUAUAUUGUAUGUUUGUAUUUUAUUCUAAGGUUUACAUUUUUAAUUUAUGAUUAUUAUUAUUUAAUUUAUUGUUGUAAGCCGCCCCAAGGCUUCAGCGAAUGGGACGGCAUAAAAAUGUUUUAAUAAAUAAAUAAAAAAUAAAUAUUGACCUUGGAGAUAGCACUGAAUGCAAAAAUGUCUUUCUUUCACUGCUGGAGGAUACAAAUGCCCUACCCUUUUGGGGUUAGGACAAAAGGCUUCAGUGACAAAGGAUGUGAUUCCCAAAAAGGGUUGCACCUUGUCCCCCGCUCUGUCUAGAAACUGAGCAAUAGCCAAGGGUAGCCAAAGAAAAGGAAGAGCACACAGCAGGCAGAUUGAAAGGUUCAGAGGAAACCGGCCAGGCCCAGAACCCAAAGACUGAGAGAAUAAGAAAGAAAGAAAUCACAUCUCCCUCACACUCCCCUCUGGCACACACAUACUCCUGUUGCAUCUGGCAGCCCCCUUGCUUCACUUCAGUGUUCAAUAAUCAGGAGAAGAGCAAGCAGAACAGCCGAGGGCAUUCAAUGGAGGCCUGAUCUACACAUGCCACACAGCGUGGUGGAAACGAAGAGCUAAAGUCCUGCGUUUGUUGACUGAGCUGUAGGGGAGGUGUCACCUUUUGGGAUGCUCUCUCAAGGAAAUGGCUCCCUGCAAGUAGAAAGCUGUCACAGCUGGAAAGAACAGCUACUGGAUGAUGAGCUCACUCAUUUUCCUUCUUUUUCUUUCAUUACCCAAAGAAGUGUUUCAAUAAAAUUUCUAAAAGGGAUUCUGAACCCACUGCCUGAAGUGGUACAAUGCAGUAUUCUGCUAUAGCAGCCUAGGUCUUAUUCACUUUCACCUGGCACUAGCUGCAUACCCUCAAGGUGAGCAUGGCAGGAAGGUAAAUUGCUCAGCAAAGCGCCUUUUCUAAAUUUGUGAAGAACAAUGACAAGCACCCAUCCCUGCGUACAGAAGGCCACUUCAUCCCAUUUCGACACGUCUGCUGAAUAUCAUGUGCAACGGCUGGGGAGAGAGUGGAAACCUGUGUCACCAUGCAUCUGAUGCAUGCCUAAAAAGCAAUCAGGAGCUGGCCAUGGCAGAAGUCGCUCUCCCCUAACAUCUGACCAUAGAUUGCUAAAGAAUCUCACGUCAUCCACUCACAAUCUCUCCCAUCUUCAGGAUAUUCUUUCUAAGGGGCAAAUUCUGCCCCAUUUGUGAAGUGUUUUCACCCAAUUGUCAUAUUGCUCUUACAGUCAGAAAGUUCUUCCUGAUGUUCAGCUGGAAUCUGU